rnacentral:rRNA from 1 species
CACGUAGGGUGCGAGCGUUGUCCGGAAUUAUUGGGCGUAAAGAGCUCGUAGGCGGUGUGUCGCGUCGGCCGUGAAAACCUGCAGCUUAACUGUGGGCUUGCGGUCGAUACGGGCAUCACUGGAGUUCGGCAGGGGAGACUGGAAUUCCUGGUGUAGCGGUGAAAUGCGCAGAUAUCAGGAGGAACACCGGUGGCGAAGGCGGCGUCCUGGACCAACACUGACACUGAUGAGCGAAAGCCAGGGGAGCAAACGGG